UACGUAGGGUCCGAGCGUUGUCCGGAAUUACUGGGCGUAAAGAGCUCGUAGGUGGUUUGUCGCGUUGUUCGUGAAAACUCACAGCUCAACUGUGGGCGUGCGGGCGAUACGGGCAGACUGGAGUACUGCAGGGGAGACUGGAAUUCCUGGUGUAGCGGUGGAAUGCGCAGAUAUCAGGAGGAACACCGGUGGCGAAGGCGGGUCUCUGGGCAGUAACUGACGCUGAGGAGCGAAAGCAUGGGGAGCAAACAGG
rnacentral:rRNA from 1 species